GAGGGUGUAGCUCAAGUGGUAGAGUGCAUUCCUCGCAUACAUGAGGUCCUGGGUUCAAUCCCCAGUACCUCCA
rnacentral:tRNA from 1 species